UCGGAGCAGCCCAAGGCUGCGGAUCUAGCCUUUUCCCUCCGGCCUCCAGACCCACGCAGGUUCGGACAGCCGGGCAGAGACAGCGGAGCCCGGUGCGGCUCAGGUCCCGCCACCAGUUACUGAGACAGAAACCUACUCCUUGGGAGGAGCAUGGCCUUUCCCUGCAUUGCUUCUUGCUACUGUUGCUGAACUCUUCGAACUCACCAAGAAGACUUCGUGGAUGGCUGUCCACCCCGAGAAGAGGAGCAUCAACUAGAUUGUCCUCUUCGUUUCAAGCAAUGACUGUCAUCAGCAUCAGGUUAAAGGCAGAUCAGCUGGAAAACCACUCAGAGGACUAACCUACAAAGGCACUGAAAUUUCAGAAAUGUACUGAUGCUUCCAUGGAAACACAAGGAGAGGAAGAUACAUUGACUGGUCCUUCUCUUGGGAGAAUCAUGUGUGGGAUUGAAAUGGUUUGAUGAAUUCCUUAGGGGGAGAAAGUAGGGACAGGCAGAAUGCAGAGGAUGCUUGGGUAAGGAAGCAGGAAGGGACAGGAUUUGGGAACCAGCUGUUGCUUCUGUUCUAAGUAGGAGACUGCAGUGUGAAAACUGCUGGGCAGGGACUUUCAGACCUGAAUUUUAGACUUUAUUCUAAUAUUAACAUAUUGACUGUGGGCACAUCACUUCACAUUCCACCUGGAUGCCCCUUGAGUCACUCCAAACCCCUCCUAGCUCAACACCUGUUAAGGUCAGGUCCAAGGCUAUAGCGGACUAAUUUCUAGCUCUCAUAUUCUUAAGCAGCUAGGUCAAAUAGACCUUCAUAGUUACCUGGCUGCUGGUGUUUCAGAGGGAUGUUUAAUCAGUAUUUUAGGAUACAAGAAGUCUGCUUCUCCCCUUUGGAGUUAGGAAGAUUCUAGCAAUAUACCCUGUAGAGAGUUUAGGGGCUUUAUUCCCUUCUUCAUUCUUUCUUCCUUCUCUUUCUCCUUCACUCCUUCCUCACAUUUCAGUGAUGCAUAUACCAUGUGCUGCAUAUGAGGUGUGUGCUAGAUUUGCAGAUACAAGGUGAAUCUGGCACUUUCUGAGACUCCAGAAGUUUUCCUAGGAGAGGGGACAAAAACCUCCUUUCCUUCAUUUGCUGGCUUUUCCUUUGGAGAGCAUCAGCCAUGUCAAAGGGGGUGGCUCUGUAUCGCAGGGUAAUCAACUACAGAUAGAUGCCCCAUUCUGCCCAAGCAAUUUUGAAGUGCCCUGAGAUACACAUCAGAUAGUCAUUCAGGCCCAGGGGCACUGUGAAAAGAGAUGUCUUCAGGUAUAAGGAAGAAACAACCUUGUACUUUUUGGGAUAAACCUGUAGCGAGUCCAUCUUCCACAUGAUGAAGACCCCUGACUACUCUGUCCUCAGCAAUCCACCCCUGACCAGGUAGAGAGAAUCUGGGUGAAUACUUCCUACACUUAACAGCUACCUCUCAGUGAACAGACAUCUUCCAUACAUUCAUACAUGGGCUUCAUACAUUCCCUGUGGCUGGCAACCUCUUGAUAAAAGAGAGAAAAACACUAAUUAAUCAGACAAACAAAACUUGCUAUGAAUUCUUACCUUAUUGUGACUCCUAUGUUAGGCUGGCAACUUCUUGAAAAAAGAGAGGAAAACACUAAUCAAUCAGACAAAAAAAGUUGCUAUGAAUUCUUACCUUAUUGCGACUCCAAAUGAAACCUUGCUUCAUUUUUCUCCCAUCAUUAACAAAUCUAUUUGAUGUAUAUCUCUGAAUGCAGAGAAUAUUUCAUGGAAGAAUCAAUGGAAUUUUAAAUUCAGAAUUACUAAUGCAGACUAUUUCAUUUGAGAAUCUCAUCCUGGGAAAUAAUUUUAAGGAUUUUAAUUUCUGGCUUAAAUGGUGGAAUUAAUAACUCUUGACUUUCAGUUUUACUUCCGAGUUGAGGUCCAGUAACAGACAGACAUGUCCAGCUCAUGUCUCCACCUCUCUAUGGCCAAGAGCUUUACUUUUUUCCUCUUUCUUUAUGUUUGCAGAUGUGCAUUAAUACUGAAUGGGUUGAUUAGCAUUUUAUCUCCUCUUCUUGUUUUUACUUUCCCUUUGUUAAAUAUAUUAAAAACAGCAUACGGCUCAUACAAUCGAAUGGCUGGUAGAACUUAGAAGAGAAACCAAGAGCCUGAGAAACUCCCACAAAUGGAAGAUCAACUUGGGAAUAAUUGACAACAUGUCGUAGUAUUUUAGGGCAGUGUUACUCCCAUUAUACAGAAGCAGAAUUGGUACAUCUACGUGACUCUAAACAUUCUAACAAAAGGGAAACACCAUCACUCAUCUCACAUUUCUAAGUAUCUGGACAUUGACCACUGUGAGGACAAAAUGUACAGAUGAUGGCUGGUCUUUCCACUGCUCAUUUGCAUAGUCAGGACCUUAUGGCUCCAGCCAUGGACUCUAAGGCAAUUUACGUUUGUUUCCUCUGUCCCUCUUGAGAGAGAAAACACAAGUCUUAUUUUCCCAAGCAAUUAAAACUCUUCUGCUUCAGCUAGGAUGGAAGAACUAGGAGUUCUGUCUCCUUGUCUAUAAUUGCAUGUUUCACCUUUUUUGUUUUAAUGAUUGGCAGAAAACUGAUAAACAGAGACAUCUCUGAAUCAGGGUUGACUGUACUCUCUUGGUGGCCCUGUUGCUAAUUUGUUAGACUAUUUUGCAGGAUUUUUUACUCUGUAAUGGAAAGGUUUGUUAAAUAUGAGGGGUGCAAA